UGGCGGCAGGCCUAACACAUGCAAGUCGAGCGGUAGCACAGAGAGCUUGCUCUCGGGUGACGAGCGGCGGACGGGUGAGUAAUGUCUGGGAAACUGCCUGAUGGAGGGGGAUAACUACUGGAAACGGUAGCUAAUACCGCAUAACGUCGCAAGACCAAAGUGGGGGACCUUCGGGCCUCAUGCCAUCAGAUGUGCCCAGAUGGGAUUAGCUAGUAGGUGGGGUAACGGCUCACCUAGGCGACGAUCCCUAGCUGGUCUGAGAGGAUGACCAGCCACACUGGAACUGAGACACGGUCCAGACUCCUACGGGAGGCAGCAGUGGGGAAUAUUGCACAAUGGGCGCAAGCCUGAUGCAGCCAUGCCGCGUGUGUGAAGAAGGCCUUCGGGUUGUAAAGCACUUUCAGCGGGGAGGAAGGCGGUGAGGUUAAUAACCUCACCGAUUGACGUUACCCGCAGAAGAAGCACCGGCUAACUCCGUGCCAGCAGCCGCGGUAAUACGGAGGGUGCAAGCGUUAAUCGGAAUUACUGGGCGUAAAGCGCACGCAGGCGGUCUGUCAAGUCGGAUGUGAAAUCCCCGGGCUCAACCUGGGAACUGCAUUCGAAACUGGCAGGCUAGAGUCUUGUAGAGGGGGGUAGAAUUCCAGGUGUAGCGGUGAAAUGCGUAGAGAUCUGGAGGAAUACCGGUGGCGAAGGCGGCCCCCUGGACAAAGACUGACGCUCAGGUGCGAAAGCGUGGGGAGCAAACAGGAUUAGAUACCCUGGUAGUCCACGCUGUAAACGAUGUCGAUUUGGAGGUUGUGCCCUUGAGGCGUGGCUUCCGGAGCUAACGCGUUAAAUCGACCGCCUGGGGAGUACGGCCGCAAGGUUAAAACUCAAAUGAAUUGACGGGGGCCCGCACAAGCGGUGGAGCAUGUGGUUUAAUUCGAUGCAACGCGAAGAACCUUACCUGGUCUUGACAUCCACAGAACUUUCCAGAGAUGGAUUGGUGCCUUCGGGAACUGUGAGACAGGUGCUGCAUGGCUGUCGUCAGCUCGUGUUGUGAAAUGUUGGGUUAAGUCCCGCAACGAGCGCAACCCUUAUCCUUUGUUGCCAGCGGUCAGGCCGGGAACUCAAAGGAGACUGCCAGUGAUAAACUGGAGGAAGGUGGGGAUGACGUCAAGUCAUCAUGGCCCUUACGACCAGGGCUACACACGUGCUACAAUGGCAUAUACAAAGAGAAGCGACCUCGCGAGAGCAAGCGGACCUCAUAAAGUAUGUCGUAGUCCGGAUUGGAGUCUGCAACUCGACUCCAUGAAGUCGGAAUCGCUAGUAAUCGUAGAUCAGAAUGCUACGGUGAAUACGUUCCCGGGCCUUGUACACACCGCCCGUCACACCAUGGGAGUGGGUUGCAAAAAAAGUAGGUAGCUUAACCUUCGGGAGGGCGCUUACCACUUUGUGAUU
rnacentral:rRNA from 1 species